rnacentral:rRNA from 1 species
UGGGGAAUUUUGGACAAUGGGCGAAAGCCUGAUCCAGCAAUGCCGCGUGUGUGAAGAAGGCCUUCGGGUUGUAAAGCACUUUUGUCCGGAAAGAAAUCCUCUGGGUUAAUACCUCGGGGGGAUGACGGUACCGGAAGAAUAAGCACCGGCUAACUACGUGCCAGCAGCCGCGGUAAUACGUAGGGUGCAAGCGUUAAUCGGAUUACUGGGCGUAAAGCGUGCGCAGGCGGUUUUGUAAGACGGAUGUGAAAUCCCCGGGCUUAACCUGGGAACUGCAUUCGUGACUGCAAGGCUAGAGUAUGGCAGAGGGGGGUAGAAUUCCACGUGUAGCAGUGAAUGCGUAGAGAUGUGGAGGAAUACCGAUGGCGAAGGCAGCCCCCUGGGCCAAUACUGACGCUCAUGCACGAAAGCGUGGGGGAGCAAACAGGAUUAGAUACCCUGGUAGUCCACGCCCUAAACGAUGUCAACUAGUUGUUGGGGAUUCAUUUCCUUAGUAACGUAGCUAACGAGUGAAGUUGACCGCCUGGGGAGUACGGUCGCAAGAUUAAAACUCAAAUGAAUUGACGGGGUCAUAGCUGUUUCCU